ACCCAAAUUUUUAUCCAGGUUGACCUCGGAUCAGGUAGGGAUACCCGCUGAACUUAAGCAUAUCAAUAAGCGGAGGAAAAGAACCAACAGGGAUUGCCCCAGUAACGGCGAGUGAAGCGGCAAGAGCUCA
rnacentral:rRNA from 1 species